GCCUAGUUAGCUUGGUGGGUAGCGCGACUGCAUUGUAAGCGCUAGGUCGCGGGUUCGAUUCCCGCCCGGGGCG
rnacentral:tRNA from 1 species